rnacentral:rRNA from 1 species
UCUGGUUGAUCCUGCCAGUAGUCAUAUGCUUCUCUCAAAGAUUAAGCCAUGCAUGUCUAAGUAUAAGCAAUUUAUACAGUGAAACUGCGAAUGGCUCAUUAAAUCAGUUAUCGUUUAUUUGAUAGUUCCUUUACUACAUGGUAUAACUGUGGUAAUUCUAGAGCUAAUACAUGCUUAAAAUCUCGACCCUUUGGAAGAGAUGUAUUUAUUAGAUAAAAAAUCAAUGUCUUCGGACUCUUUGAUGAUUCAUAAUAACUUUUCGAAUCGCAUGGCCUUGUGCUGGCGAUGGUUCAUUCAAAUUUCUGCCCUAUCAACUUUCGAUGGUAGGAUAGUGGCCUACCAUGGUUUCAACGGGUAACGGGGAAUAAGGGUUCGAUUCCGGAGAGGGAGCCUGAGAAACGGCUACCACAUCCAAGGAAGGCAGCAGGCGCGCAAAUUACCCAAUCCUAAUUCAGGGAGGUAGUGACAAUAAAUAACGAUACAGGGCCCAUUCGGGUCUUGUAAUUGGAAUGAGUACAAUGUAAAUACCUUAACGAGGAACAA